CGGCAUUAUGCGCAAGCGCCUUGCCGCCUCCGCCUUCGACCUGCCGCCAGAAUACCUCCUGGAAGUGGAAGAAGUGACCAUCGGAAUAGUUCUCGUGUAGAGGUGGAAGAACUCUUAGCAUAUUCACAGGGUUAUGGCGGGCUAUGCUAGUACUAAAGCAGGUGUAAGAUCCCAUUCAAUAAUUGAGAUGUGCAGUAACAUUUGAUAAAUGAUCUAAUAUCCCGCCUUGUGAGGCAGCAAGCAGUUCUUCUGAUCAAGCAAAUAGGUACUGAUUUUAUUUUAAUUGAACUAUUAAAUCAUGCUCACACUGACUUGUUAGUGUAUGAUUAAUUCCUUGCAUUUGUUCAUCAGGAGACAACAUUGUAUCUUUGAUGUUGAUCAGAUUUUUGUCCAAGAAGUUUCAAAGUUUUGAUCCCAAACGACUCACUAACAUCUAUUAACCAGUUUUUUUUAUGUUACUCAAAAUACCAUGCAUUCUCACGAGCAACUAAUCGGUUUAUAGUUCUCACUUCAACAAAUGUGUUCCUGAAAUAAAAGACAGUAGUACCAACACUGCAAAGAGAGGGGGGCUUCUGGCUCCAUCGACAAGAUGCAGAGUGGAUGUCUUUUUUUCACCCUGAUUGUUUUGCAUUUGCAGGAGUGCAGGAAUACUUU